rnacentral:rRNA from 1 species
AGAGAGAGACAUGCGUGCAUAUCAAUAAGCGGAGGAAAAGAAACUAACAAGGAUUCCCUUAGUAACGGCGAGUGAAGCGGGAAGAGCUCAAAUUUGAAAUCUUCAAGGUUUUACCUUGACGAAUUGUAGUUUAAAGAAGUGUUUUCUGCUGAAGUUUUGGUAAAAGUUCUUUGGAAUAGGACAUCAUAGAGGGUGAGAAUCCCGUAUUUGACCAUUAUUUUCAGCUUUGUGAUACACUUUCAAAGAGUCGGAUUGUUUGGGAAUGCAGUCCAAAAUGGGUGGUAAAUUUCAUCUAAAGCUAAAUAUUGGCGAGAGACCGAUAGCGAACAAGUACCGUGAGGGAAAGAUGAAAAGAACUUUGAAAAGAGAGUUAAACAGUACGUGAAAUUGUCAAAAGGGAAGCGUUUGACACCAGUGUUGUUUUCUCGAAAAUCAAUUAAAAAUGGCUCGAUUUGUAUUGUUGAGACCUUAAAAGCUCACUGUACAUUUUUCGUGUCUUUUUUAAUGCACUUUUCGUUUAACAAGUCAACAUCAGUUUCUUUUGUUGUAAAAGGGUCAUUGGAAGGUGGCUUUCUUUUCGGAGAAAGUGUUUAUAGCCUUUGGCCUCUGCAAUCGAAGAGACUGAGGUCUGCAGCGUAGACUCUUCGGGGUUAGAUACAUUUGUGCUAAGUUAUAGCCUUUUCAUAGACAACUUGUUGACUAUAAUCAGUCAUGUAGCUUACUCGCUUAUGCUAUUUUACCUACGCUUAGGAUGUUGAGUCGUAGAGCACGCAG